UACGAAGGGGGCUAGCGUUGCUCGGAAUUACUGGGCGUAAAGGGAGCGUAGGCGGAUAGUUUAGUCAGAGGUGAAGCCCAGGGCUCAACCCUGGAAUUGCCUUUGAUACUGGCUAUCUUGAGUGUGGGAGAGGUUAGCGGAACUCCGAGUGUAGAGGUGAAAUUCGUAGAUAUUCGGAAGAACACCAGUGGCGAAGGCGGACUAACCUGGCCCA
rnacentral:rRNA from 1 species